CCUACGGGAGGCAGCAGUAGGGAAUCUUUCACAAUGGGCGAAAGCCUGAUGGAGCAACGCCGCGUGCAGGAUGAAGGCCUUCGGGUUGUAAACUGCUUUUAUAAGCGAGAAAUAUGAUGGUAACUUAUGAAUAAGGAUCGGCUAACUACGUGCCAGCAGCCGCGGUCAUACGUAGGAUCCGAGCAUUAUCCGGAGUGACUGGGUGUAAAGAGUUGCGUAGGUGGCAUAAUAAGUAGCUAGUGAAAUCUGGUGGCUCAACCAUUCAGACUAUUAGCUAAACUGUUAAGCUCGAGACCGUUAGAGGUAACUGGAAUGUCUAGUGUAGGAGUGAAAUCCGUAGAUAUUAGAAGGAACACCAAUAGCGUAGGCAGGUUGCUGGGACGGUUCUGACACUAAGGCACGAAAGCGUAGGGAGCAAACGGGAUUAGAUACCCCUGUAGUC
rnacentral:rRNA from 1 species